GUGUGAACACAUCUUUACUGUUGAUGCUAUUGUAACCCAUAUGAAAAUUCCUCUUAAAGGUCAUGUUAGAUAUCGCUAUUGAGUUUUCCUGGUUUUCCGUGAAGGCACCAUUUGGUCACUUGACAUCUGUUCAGCCAGUUCCACUUCCUGGUAGUCUCCAUACAAGCCAUCCGACAGAUGUGUGGGAGUAUGGGAGUGGGAAGGCUUUAACAGACGCUGCGAACCCACUGCUGACACCAGGGCUCUCGUGUGGGACGAAUCUUUAAGAGGAUUGGCCAGGUGUGCCCUGUUGGGUACAGAACCUUCCGGAUGGCGAGCUAGAUGCAAGAGCCUGAACCCUGU